CCAGCAGCUGCGGUAAUUCCAGCUCCAAUAGCGUAUAUUAAAGUUGUUGCAGUUAAAAAGCUCGUAGUUGGAUUUGUGGUUCGUCCUGCCGGCUGGGCCUUUUGGCCUUUGCUGUGCCGGUCGUCCAUCCUUGGGUGGAAUCCGUGUGGCAUUAGGUUGUCGUGCGGGGGAUGCCCAUCGUUUACUGUGAAAAAAUUAGAGUGUUCAAAGCAGGCUUAUGCCGUUGAAUAUAUUAGCAUGGAAUAAUGAUAUAGGACCUCGGUACUAUUUUGUUGGUUUGCGUAUCGAUGUAAUGAUUAAUAGGGACAGUUGGGGGUAUUCGUAUUCCAUUGUAAGAGGUGAAAUUCUUGGAUUUUUGGAAGACGAACUACUGCGAAAGCAUUUACCAAGGAUGUUUUCA
rnacentral:rRNA from 1 species